rnacentral:rRNA from 1 species
GUCUAAGGCCAUACCACCCUGAACACGCCCGAUCUCGUCUGAUCUCAGAAGCUAAGCAGGGUUAGUACUUGGAUGGGAGAAAUGGCCCUCCCCUUGCAGCCUGGGUGGUGGUGCAGUGUCUAGACU